rnacentral:miRNA from 1 species
CUUUUCUACGUGAUAUUUUUCAUGUCAAUCAAACACACUCUUAGAGUGUGUUUGAUUGACAUGGAAAAUAUUACCUAGAAAAG